AGCGGACGCUGGCGGCAGGCCUAACACAUGCAAGUCGAACGAACCUUUCGGGGUUAGUGGCGGACGGGUGAGUAACACGUGGGAACGUGCCUUUAGGUUCGGAAUAACUCAGGGAAACUUGUGCUAAUACCGAAUGUGCCCUUCGGGGGAAAGAUUUAUCGCCUUUAGAGCGGCCCGCGUCUGAUUAGCUAGUUGGUUGAGGUAAUGGCUCACCAAGGCGACGAUCAGUAGCUGGUCUGAGAGGAUGAUCAGCCACAUUGGGACUGAGACACGGCCCAAACUCCUACGGGAGGCAGCAGUGGGGAAUCUUGCGCAAUGGGCGAAAGCCUGACGCAGCCAUGCCGCGUGAAUGAUGAAGGUCUUAGGAUUGUAAAAUUCUUUCACCGGGGACGAUAAUGACGGUACCCGGAGAAGAAGCCCCGGCUAACUUCGUG
rnacentral:rRNA from 1 species